rnacentral:rRNA from 1 species
CCUGAUGGGAAGCAGGUUAAUAUUCCUGCACCGUCGUAUGAUGCGAUGGGGGGACGGAUCGCGGAAGGUUGUCUGCCUGUUGGAAUAGGCAGUUUCUGGUUCAUAGGAGGUACUUAGGCAAAUCCGGGUACGUAAUCCAAGGGACUGGGACGAAGAACUUAGGUUCUGUAGCAAUCGGAAGUGGUUCCAAGAAAAGCCUCUAAGCUUCAGUCAUACGAGACCGUACCGCAAACCGACACAGGUGGGCGAGAUGAGUAUUCUAAGGCGCUUGAGAGAACUCGGGAGAAGGAACUCGGCAAAUUGGUACCGUAACUUCGGGAAAAGGUACGCCCUUGUAGUUUGACCACUUUACUGUGGAAGGAUGAACGGGUUGCAAUAAACUGGUGGCUGCGACUGUUUAAUAAAAACACAGCACUCUGCAAACAUGAAAGUGGACGUAUAGGGUGUGACGCCUGCCCGGUGCUGGAAGAUUAAAUGAUGGGGUGCAAGCUCUUGAUUGAAGUCCCAGUAAACGGCGGCCGUAACAAUAACGGUCCUAAGGUAGCGAAAUUCCUUGUCGGGUAAGUUCCGACCUGCACGAAUGGCGUAACGAUGGCCACACUGUCUCCUCCCGAGACUCAGCGAAGUUGAAAUGUUUGUGAUGAUGCAAUCUACCCGCGGCUAGACGGAAAGACCCCAUGAACCUUUACUGUAGCUUUGCAUUGGACUUUGAACCAAUCUGUGUAGGAUAGGUGGGAGGCUUAGAAGCGGGGACGCCAGUUCUCGUGGAGCCAACCUUGAAAUACCACCCUGGUUUGUUUGAGGUUCUAACCUUGGUCCGUUAUCCGGAUCGGGGACAGUGCAUGGUAGGCAGUUUGACUGGGGCGGUCUCCUCCUAAAGUGUAACGGAGGAGUUCGAAGGUACGCUAAUUACGGUCGGACAUCGUGAUGAUAGUGCAAUGGCAUAAGCGUGCUUAACUGCGAGACCGACAAGUCGAGCAGGUACGAAAGUAGGACAUAGUGAUCCGGUGGUUCUGUAUGGAAGGGCCAUCGCUCAACGGAUAAAAGGUACUCUGGGGAUAACAGGCUGAUUCCUCCCAAGAGUUCAUAUCGACGGGGGAGUUUGGCACCUCGAUGUCGGCUCAUCACAUCCUGGGGCUGUAGCCGGUCCCAAGGGUAUGGCUGUUCGCCAUUUAAAGUGGUACGUGAGCUGGGUUUAAAACGUCGUGAGACAGUUUGGUCCCUAUCUGCCGUGGGCGUUGGAAAUUUGAAGGGGGCUGCUCCUAGUACGAGAGGACCGGAGUGGACGAACCUCUGGUGUACCGGUUGUCACGCCAGUGGCAUUGCCGGGUAGCUAAGUUCGGAAGAGGU